rnacentral:ncRNA from 1 species
GUCGGGGAUAGGCUAAUACAACACCCGCAAGGGAAAUAGGCCUGGCUGACUUUGUACAGUUGUGAAUCCCCGGCACCACUUC